AUGACACAAUCAGUUGAAUCAUGGCAUAUUCCACACCACAUGGUGACCCACAACAAUAAGAAUCGCAUAGUGUUCAACUGCUCUUACCAGUACCAAGGUCAGAACCUGAAUCAGUGGCUGUUACCUGGACCCACCUUAGGACCCUCACUCCUAGGAGUGCUGUUACGAUUUCGAGAGCAUAGUGUAGCCAUAAGUGGUGAUGUGAAAGCCAUGUUCCACCAGGUCCGCCUGCUCCCUGAAGAUCGGCCCCUUCUGAGAUUUGUCUGGAGAGACAUGGAAAGAGACCAAAUUCCAUCUGUGUUUGACUGGCAGGUUUUACCUUUUGGUAGGACGUGUAGUCCAUGCUGUGCCACUUACGUCAUGCAGCACCAUGUAGUCAGUCACAGCCAGCCAGAGGAUGAUGUGAGGUUUUCCAUUGAGAAAUGCUUCUACGUUGAUAAUUGUCUGCAAAGCCUAUCCUCACCUGACCAGGCCAGAACGCUGAUAGAUAAGCCAAGGGAGACUCUAGCCUCAGGUGGAUUUGAACUCCGACAGUGGGCCAGCAAUAGGCCGGAAGUCAUCAGUCACCUACCCGAAGAAGCUCGAUCAGACAAUCUGGAACUCGCUCAUGACCGAAUAGACAACCCUGAAUCUGCUCUUGACCUCAGCUGGCACUGUUCAACAGAUGUGCUGAGAUACAAACAUCGCCCUGUGAAUUAUGAUGCUCCUACCAUGCGAAACAUCUACAAGGUAUUAGCAUGCCAAUACGACCCGCUCGGCUUUAUUCUGCCAUACACCACCCAUGCCAAAAUAUUAGUGAGACAACUUUGGGACAAACACAGAGACUGGGAUGACCCCCAGCUGCCGCAGGAUUUGCUACAGGCCUGGAAGGAUUGGGAAGGAGAGUUAAAAUUCCUGCCAAGGAUCACGUUCCCCCAAGCAUACGUACUUCCUGCCAUGGAUGAGAGAAGAAUAACUCAUGAGAUACAUGUAUUUUCUGAUGCCUCGGAACAAUCCUAUGGAGCUGUCACUUACCUGAGGACAGUUGAUACUCAGGGUCAGCCUUAUCUCUCCUUCAUUGUAGCCCGUUCAAGAAUUGCACCUAAACGACUGCAUUCAAUACCCAGACUAGAGCUCUGUGCUGCCCUCACAGGAGCCCAACUCAGUAGAUUGUUAGAACGAGAGCUUACCCUGCCAAUCACCCGAACUACCCUUUGGACUGACUCAACCACGGUCUUGUCCUGGUUACACUCUGAGUCAUGUCGAUUUAAGGUUUUCGUUGGCACUCGAGUGACAGAAAUUCAGGAGCUCACUGAUCGACUUUCAUGGCGAUAUGUUGACUCAGCGAAAAACCCUGCUGAUGACCUCACCAGAGGUAUGAAGCUAGAAGAACUAGCUGAACCUAACCUAUGGAGCCAUGGGCCACCCUUUCUUCUUCAAAGCCCAGACAAAUGGCCGACCCCACCAACAACAGUAAUAGACGAGUGUCACACAGAACUUCGCAAGUCUAUAUUCUGUGGAGUCACUAUGACCAUACCUGACAAGGAGCCUUACCUACCAGAUGUGCAUCAAUAUACCACAUGGAGGGAACUUUUAGAGGCAACCGUACAGAAGCUUCAAGGGGCGGCAAGUAUCAGCAGAGCUCUUAGCGCUGAUGACUACAGUACAGCCGAGAUUCUUAUCCUAAGAAGGGCACAGCAGGAUAGUUUCACAGAGGAGUUCAGCCUACUGCGAAAUGGGAAAACAGUUCAAAGUAAUAGCCAUCUACUUACGCUGUCUCCAGAGCUGGACAAGACAGAUGAACUCAUUAAGGUUGUGGCAGAUUGA
ensembl:lncRNA